UGUAUCUAAAGUCAUGUGGCCAAAAACGCUACACGCUCCAUAGCCUCUCAGCAUAUUUUUAAUCAUGCUUUGCCGUCCAAGUAUUUGCGUACCCUUUGCCGCCUCGAGAAACUUCUUUGCCGCCUUUUAUGGUUUAACUUAUCUACCGUUAAAUACCUAUUCCUAAAUUAAUCUCAAUCGUCCAUUCAUCCCUAACCCUCAAUAAAUUGCAAUUUGAUUCUGCUUUUCAUUUUAAUCACUAAAACCUCGUCCUACCGUUCGUCGAAUGGCUGGUAAACGGUGGUACCGUCGACGGUUCACGUAGAUGUUGUCGAUCUGAAGCUUUUGGGAGAGAUUCAUGGAUAUGGACUAAUUGCUUGAUCAACCGUUUCGAGGAUUGUACCGUUAGCUAUGAGAGAGUUAUCUAUCCGCAUUGAGCUGCGACGCUAAUGAAUUGGUAUCCUAUUUGCUACAAAUCAAACGGAUUGGAUUGCUGAUCUUUCAAUGCUGCAAUUUCAUCUAUGAAGGGCGUCUAAGGUUCUAAUUGUUUUAUUUAAUGUUUAUGUUUAUGUGAAUAAUUUAUAUACACUAGUAGUUUUCUAUUUAUGCUUGCUUAUGUAUGAGAGGAUGAAAGAUUGAGUCUGUAACGAUGUAUCGGGGCAUGAGAGGAAAAAGUGAGGUAUUUUAUUGUUCAUGUUACCAGGCCUUUGCCAUGUUGGGUGCGCUCGCAUGGCAGGUCACGAGUACCUAAUAAACGUAUUUAUUUUUGGCGUCUGAGGGGAGAUGGUACGGGGUUUUGCCCGGCUCUCCUCUCUCUGUGUCGUGUCUCUUUAUAUUUUACCUGCACUUUCUAUAUUUUCCUGGUUCCAAUAACUCUCAUCAAUUCCGUGGUUACGUGUCCUCGAAUUGGUCUUGUUUAUUUCUGCACUGUGUCAUCUUGAAAGACGACGUAACUCAUGUUAAUUUGCUAAUUAUGGGGAUGGACAAUCAACAUUCUACUGCAGCACUCCCUUAGAGGUACAAUCAUCAAUUCUCUUCUAGUAUGGUUAACUAGGCAUCAUUAUUUUCAUACCAUCUAGUAUUUGAACUACUGGGCUUACAAUCUUAAAAUACUUAAUUUCACUCCUUAGUUAUUUAUGAGUCUGAAAAUUAUCUGAUUCGACCACUGGAUGCAAGUUGCCUCAAUCAGGCUGAGCCAGGAUUUUGAGUGUAUGGGUUCUGGGUUAUAAUUUUUUUUGCCUUGCUGGGUUUCGAUUGGAUUACUUGUACAUACUAGAUUAAUGUAUGGGCUUUGAGCCUAGUUUAAUAGGUUAUACUGUACUCGUGGCUAUGCUUUAAACCAGUUGGAAACUAAAACUAUGUUCAUAAGAACUGUCGGUUGAGCGCUGCAAGUUUUUAUGCAAGGUGUUCCAUAAAAUUGGUAUAAGGACCUCAAGCUUCCUGAACUACUAACGAAUAUGUAUUGCAAAAACUAGUAAUGGAUCAUGCAUUGGGCUCACGUAGAGGGUCAAUUAGACCAACUACUAAUUGCAUGUAUUUCAUUUCGCUGCAAAUCACUUUGGCCUAAUAAUCAAUCUCAAUUUUCUAAGCUCCUAAGCUCAAGACAUCUAGUUUUAAUCGGUUGAUUUAGCUACGACAGAUGAGAUAAGCAUGAUAGAAAUCUAGUAAAGCUGGUUUUUGAUGAAGAGCCAAGAUAGGAUACGGUAGUUAUAUUUUCAUUAUAAUCGUUUGUAGUUAAUUUUGAUUAUCGCAUUUAUUGAACUUUGACUAGGCAAAUGCUAGUUCAUUGCUGUUUCAACAGUUGCUCUUACUCAACUAAAUGUACUUGUGUACAAGUUCUGUGGGAGCUCGUUUGCCUGUUUUGUAAUUGUAUCAAACUUCAAUCGAUGUUGUUGUUAUGGUGCUCUUGUUGUAGUCCUUGGGAGGGUACCCUUUGGUUGGUAGGUUAGGAAGUUCUGCCUUGAACAGCUCAGUGUCUCUAGGUCAAAUUGAAGCUUAUCAGAUUAUAGUUGAUGGCCAUGAUUGUUAUCAAUGGCCUGGUCAUGUGGCCUGAGGUCCAGAGAAUUCUUGAUUCAUGCUGCUCUUGGUGUACUGCUGUUCCUCCUACUUAUGGAAGGUAAACCACUGCUUUUGUCUGGAAGUAUCAAGAAAUGCCUACUCUGGAUGUAUCAAGAAAUGUUCAAGCUAUUCCUGCUGCUGUAUUUGCUGUUGAAGAUUGGAUCCAUCAUGUCUGCUGUAUAUAGCACAUGCAAGAAUCUUAGAUGCUGCUGCUCAUGUUUGUCUGAAGCAGUUGGUUCUGUUGUAUCUGGUGCCAUCUAUUACCAGAAAUCUUACCACUGGUUGGUUUUUCAUUCUGCUGCAUCCUGAAAAAGCCAUGUCAGUCUACAGUUGCCCUGGUUGAUUGAUCUAUAGUCAUCUGGAGCAUCAGUCUAUUACAAGCCUUUCUGCUAAUCUCUGAAUGAAACAGACAAGCAGGGGUGGGAGUCCCUCCUGGCUGAGUGGUCUGAGCCGUGCGCCACGGUUGACUUUUAGCUCUCCUGGUUUAUCAUACUGAGUUUUUGUGACAGAUGGUGUUUUGAGCAGAUCUGACAGUGUUUUAUGUUGGUGCUGCUCUUCAGAGGAUGAAGUUUUGUCCAGUAUGCAAACUCCGCAUUCCUAAUGUUUUUGUGAAUGUUAACAAGUUCAUCUCUUAUUCUCGGUGCAAUUCCAAAUGUUUAGGUGUUUCUUCGCAAGACACUAUUACUGAUGGCAUAGACUCUUUGCCAGUAGGUUGUGUUAAUUUAUCGGGGUGUCCUGGUGUCUAUUGAGUCAUGGCAGUGUAUUUUUCGAUACGGUAUUAGUACUGGCUUGGCGGUGUCCUGUUAAAUUUUCCUUUAAUGGAUGAUGUCAAAUCCGGGAUCUUUGUUAAUUUUGCCAGUCUUGGGGAUAAUUUGAGUUCAAGUUGUCUGUGUAAAUUAGAACUGGCAUGUUGGGAACUUUUAUUUACCAAUAUUGUUUAAUGGUAUGAUGGUAGUGUAGUUUUCUGA